GGACCGGCACGGCGGCUCUUGGCGGUCCCCUCACGACAGCCAGAGCGGCUCCGCCGACGGCCGCGGCGAUGAGGAGCGGCGCCGCUCCGGCCCGCAAGCGUUUGGGCUCCAAUCCCGCAGUGCGCUACGUGCGGGUGUCGAAACACGGCAAAGCUCACACUGACGUGAAAAAAGGUGCUAAUGGAUCUGGAUGGCAGCGUGGCAGAGAUGGAAUGCAUUUUUAACUGUAAAUUCAAUAAAACUGGAUUCAAUCUUAAA